GGCUAGAAUAAUGCUCAGGUUUUGGUUAUUGUCUAAGUGUGAUAGAGUCUCCCAAGAGUAACUGCUGGACUUACUCGCUGGUGGUGGCCCUCAUGGCACGGUCGGUCACCAGGUUAGUGACAUGG